rnacentral:rRNA from 1 species
AUUGAACGCUGGCGGCAGGCUUAACACAUGCAAGUCAAACGAGUGGCGGACGGGUGAGUAAUGCUUGGGAAUCUAGCUUAUGGAGGGGGAUAACUACGGGAAAAUGUAGCUAAUACCGCGUACCAUAGGAUGAGCCCAAGUGGGAUUAGGUAGUUGGUGAGGUAAAGGCUAACCAAGCCGACGAUCUCUAGCUGGUCUGAGAGGAUGACCAGCCACACUGGGACGGAGACACGGCCCAGACGCCGACGGGAGGCAGCAGUGGGGAAUAUUGCGCAAUGGGGGCAACCUGACGCAGCCAUGCCGCGUGAAUGAAGAAGGCCUUCGGGUUGUAAAGUUCUUUCGGUAGCGAGGCGUUAAUCACAGAAGAAGCACCGGCUAACUCCGUGCCAGCAGCCGCGGUAAUAC